GGUUACAUUUGGAGUAGCAAACGGAGUGCCAGAAUUUUGGUUAAAGGCAAAAUAUCCAAGUCCAUUAUUAAUCAGAUAACCUAAUUGUGUUUGUUGGUUAUUUACUUGUGAGAGAACUGGCCAGAUGCAGGCAUAGAACGUUCCACAAUCGGGGAGGUGGCCAGGAGAAGUUGGAGAAGAGAGAAAGUGGAGUAAAUGGACCCAGACAGUUCAAGGACGUGAAGUUUAUUUAAGUAGAAUGUCUGAGUAGGAAUAAAUGAAAGCAGAAGAAAGUUGGAAAAAUCUUGGAUGAUCUUGUUAAAGGCUUUGAAGCAAAGAGUGAGGAUUUAGACCUGCUUCUCUUUAGAGUGAAAGCUACUCGGAGAUCAAAGCCAUAGGUGAAUAGAAAGGUUGACAGCAGCACCGAGAUUGAUUGGAAAGAAGUUUUUGAUGGAGGCCGGGAGCGUCAAAAAGAAAGAGUGGAUGUCAGCUCAUUCUCCUGGU
rnacentral:lncRNA from 1 species